AAAAUAAUUCUCCCCUCUUCCCCGAGCAAUUGUAGUCGCCCAACUUAAGGAUGAGCUCAUCUGUCUGACAUCCAGCUCAUUGCUCCCAGCGGCUUGCGUGAAACAAGACUCGUCACCAGCUCUCUGUGCUUUAUCUUCGGAAACUACCGAGAAAACAGCAAAAAACUCGCCAAAAUGUUCAACAAGAUCGUGACCGUGUGUGUGCUCCUCCUGGCUAUCGUGGCUGUAGCUUUCGCACAGAACUCCACCGCAGCAAAUAACGCCACCAUGGCACCAACCCAAGCACCAACUACAGCAAGCGGGACUGGCUUUGUGCAACCUGAGUUGGUGAUGCUGCUGCUUUCUGCCGUGGCUGCCUUCUUCCGCUAGUGAUAUCAUCACGUCAACGUCCAAUCAGAAUCCACGUCAAAUUAUUCCAGCACUGUGAUUGGCAGAUGUAGAUGUAGCUGCAUGGGAAGCGGACCCCUUUAGUUUCACAUCUAAGAAUUAUGAUAAUUGGAACGAGUAAUCUUACUGUGAACUGUACUAAACAUCCACAAACUUUCACUAACUAGAACUCAUCUAAACUUGUGACAGCGAACAUUGUGAUUGGUCAGAAGUCUAACAGAUUACCCAAUCAGAAUGCACCACUAGAUCCUGUUACACCUGGCUUUCAUACCAUUGGUCAGCGAGUUUGAGUUACUUCAACCUUUCAGGUUCAGUAGCGAUGACGUCUCGAUGAAAAACAAAAACAAAUGUAGACUACAGUGACUUUAUCGACCAGUAUUUGCUUCCGAGACUGUCCAUGCUUUUUUAUGUUGUACUUUUUAGUUUAAUAGGUGUGACUAUCAUUUUAUCUCUUGUGCAAUUCACGCGUGCCUUAAUGACCGACUGUACCAUUAUAAAGAGUUGUGAAGAGGCUACUGGCUAUGCAAUAAUAACCUUUGUCUGUCAAUAAAGUUUCUUACACCAUGCUUUGA